GCUGAAGCCAGUCGAAGAUACCAGCUGGCUGCAACUGUUUAUUAAAAACACAGCACUGUGCAAACACGAAAGUGGACGUAUACGGUGUGACGCCUGCCCGGUGCUGGAAGGUUAAUUGAUGGGGUUAGCGCAAGCGAAGCUCCUGAUCGAAGCCCCAGUAAACGGCGGCCGUAACUAUAACGGUCCUAAGGUAGCGAAAUUCCUUGUCGGGUAAGUUCCGACCUGCACGAAUGGCGUAAUGAUGGCCAGGCUGUCUCCACCCGAGACUCAGUGAAAUUGAACUCGCUGUGAAGAUGCAGUGUACCCGCGGCAAGACGGAAAGACCCCGUGAACCUUUACUAUAGCUUGACACUGAACAUUGAGCCUUGAUGUGUAGGAUAGGUGGGAGGCUUUGAAGUGUGGACGCCAGUCUGCAUGGAGCCAACCUUGAAAUACCACCCUUUAACGUUUGAUGUUCUAACCUAGGCCCGUGAUCCGGGUCGGGGACCGUGUCUGGUGGGUAGUUUGACUGGGGCGGUCUCCUCCUAAAGAGUAACGGAGGAGCACGAAGGUUGGCUAAGCAUGGUCGGACAUCAUGCGGUUAGUGCAAAGGCAUAAGCCAGCUUGACUGCGAGAGUGACGGCUCGAGCAGGUACGAAAGUAGGUCUUAGUGAUCCGGUGGUUCUGAAUGGAAGGGCCAUCGCUCAACGGAUAAAAGGUACUCCGGGGAUAACAGGCUGAUACCGCCCAAGAGUUCAUAUCGACGGCGGUGUUUGGCACCUCGAUGUCGGCUCAUCACAUCCUGGGGCUGAAGUAGGUCCCAAGGGUAUGGCUGUUCGCCAUUUAAAGUGGUACGCGAGCUGGGUUUAGAACGUCGUGAGACAGUUCGGUCCCUAUCUGCCGUGGGCGUUGGAAGAUUGAGAGGGGUUGCUCCUAGUACGAGAGGACCGGAGUGAACGCACCACUGGUGUUCGGGUUGUCAUGCCAAUGGCAUUGCCCGGUAGCUAAGUGCGGAAGAGAUAACCGCUGAAAGCAUCUAAGCGGGAAACUUGCCUCGAGAUGAGUCUUCCCUGUCGCUUAAAGCGACCUAAAGGAACGUUUAAGACGAAGACGUUGAUAGGCUGGGUGUGUAAGCGUAGCGAUACGUUGAGCUAACCAGUACUAAUGAACCGUGAGGCUUAACCUG
rnacentral:rRNA from 1 species